UACAGAGGGUGCGAGCGUUAAUCGGAAUUACUGGGCGUAAAGGGCGCGUAGGCGGUUAAUUAAGUUAGCUGUGAAAUCCCUGGGCUUAACCUAGGAAUGGCAGCUGAUACUGGUUAGCUGGAGUGCGAUAGAGGGUAGUGGAAUUUCCGGUGUAGCGGUGAAAUGCGUAGAUAUCGGAAGGAACACCCGUGGCGAAGGCGGCUACCUGGAUUGACACUGACGCUGAGGCGCGAGAGCGUGGGGAGCAAACAGG
rnacentral:rRNA from 1 species